rnacentral:rRNA from 1 species
UACGGAGGGAGCUAGCGUUGUUCGGAAUUACUGGGCGUAAAGCGCACGUAGGCGGCUUUGUAAGUUAGAGGUGAAAGCCCGGGGCUCAACUCCGGAACUGCCUUUAAGACUGCAUCGCUUGAAUCCGGGAGAGGUGAGUGGAAUUCCGAGUGUAGAGGUGAAAAUUCGUAGAUAUUCGGAAGAACACCAGUGGCGAAAGGCGGCUCACUGGACCGGC